rnacentral:rRNA from 1 species
UACGGAGGGUGCGAGCGUUGUCCGGAAUCAUUGGGCGUAAAGGGCGCGUAGGUGGCCCGGUCAGUUCGUGGUGAAAGCGCGGGGCUCAACCCUGCGUCGGCCAUGAAUACUGCCGCGGCUGGAGCACUGUAGAGACAGGCGGAAUUCCGGGUGUAGCGGUGGAAUGCGUAGAGAUCCGGAAGAACACCGGUGGCGAAGGCGGCCUGCUGGGCAGUUGCUGACACUGAGGCGCGACAGCGUGGGGAGCAAACAGG